UACGGGGGAGGCAAGCGUUGUUCGGAUUUACUGGGCGUAAAGGGCGCGUAGGCGGCGCAACAAGUCACUUGUGAAAUCUCCGGGCUUAACCCGGAGCGGCCAAGUGAUACUGUCGUGCUAGAGUGCGGAAGGGGCUACUGGAAUUCUCGGUGUAGCGGUGAAAUGCGUAGAUAUCUGGAGGAACACCGGUGGCGAAGGCGGCAUCCUGGACCGGCAUUGACGCUGGAGGAGCGAAAGCCAGGGGAGCAAACGGG
rnacentral:rRNA from 1 species